CAAAAAAUAGUUAAAUUUAGAAUUUUAGCUUUGGGAGCUAAAGGUGAGAGUUAAAAUCCCUCUUUUUUGA
rnacentral:tRNA from 1 species